rnacentral:lncRNA from 1 species
CUACAGGACCGCACCUAGCACCACACCACGAAGCAGCCUUCCCGGGUACUUCUCGCCCGGCAACUGCAGUGGGUGCAGAGCGCUGAUGGGCGCGGAGUGUCCACAAGGACAAAACUCAAAGAGGCUGACGUGGCUUCGGAGCAGACACGCGAAGGGGACACUUUGGGCCCCGUUUCCCCGCUUCUACCUGGUGCUAUAGGCAAAGAGUCCAGAGGCAGGUAGCCUCAACAGCGAAGGGAGGGUCUCAACUAUUUCUAGACUCUGGGUAGAGACCACUCACACUAUCAGCCUCCUUUAUCGCGCUUCCCGGGUCCCGCCCUCGGGAUGGAUCGCAAGAGCCACAGUCCGCACAGCCCCGCCCGCACCUCGUCCCCGCCCGGCCCGGGCGGUUGUUGUGUACAAGUUCUCCGGGUGCGGUCUCCAGCCCGGGAAGAUGUUGGCUGCGGCUGCAGCAGCUGAGACGAUGGCAGCGCCUGCGGGCAGCAAGAGAUGGAGGCAGCGGGACCCGGACGUAACCGGGACCGGGAGACUGAGGUCUGGGUUCGGUCUCCCAAGGCUCCUGGUGGUGCUCCCGCGGCUGCUGCUGCUCCUGCUGCUCCCGCUGUUGCUACUCUUGCUGCUGCCCCGCGAGGCUGGGGCGGCGGCGGCGACAGGAUCAGGCUCACUUGUAUCCGAGGCCAAGAAAUGUGAUCAGCCCUGUGUCAACCGCGGCCGCUGUGACCCUGGCACCGGCCAGUGCAUCUGCCCCGCCGGCUGGGUGGGCGAGCAAUGCCAGCACUGCGGGGGCCGCCUCAAGUG